AAUGUUGAAGUUCCACCCUGUUAUGGUUGCUGUCCUGCAGCAUGUAGUAGCAUGUAGCUCAUGUAGCAUGAAGUUUGCCUAUAAAAAGUCUUCUAUGUUGCUUCUUUACAGCUUUUUGGAUAAGUAAUACUAGUGCUCUGCUGUAGGUGCUGCUGGCCUGUGACUGUUAUCAGCUGUUUGACUACAAACUACAUCAAUGUGAAAAUGCAGUUUCCUGUCCAUACAGCCUGGAAGCACUGUGGAGAUCUGCAGGGACUGCUUUACCUCAGCAAAGCAGACAUCUGCUGCUUGUGCUAACAUGCUAAUUCUUGAAACUGUAGAGGUUCCUCCCAAAACGGACUCUGCUGACGAUCACUGAUUCACUUCAGCAAGAGAAUAUUUAGUGAUUGCACAGAUCAGAUGAUGAGAUAAAGCGACAAGAGAUAAAGUUACAGCGUCUUACACCACCUGUAUGACCGUGAACAUUGACUGCAACUGCUGCAGCUGCUGUCCCUGUUGCAUUGGAAAAAAAUGUGAUGAAUAGUUUCAGUAUUGAAAUAAUAUCUGUGUCAGACAGCUUGUAUUGAUGUAGUAAAGCGGCAUGGAGAGAUGGAGUCAUUUAUACCUGAAUGUGUCUCACCAGAUGUAGUUUGUUUGAGCAAUCUGCUGUUAUAAAAGUCACUCUGGUUGCAUUUACAUUUGUUUUUUUUAAUAUAUUGAUCCAAUCUGCUUAAUGGCCAAAGAGUUAAUAGAGUAUUAGAUUGUUUGGAAGCUCCCGUAUGAAUAGAGAAU